rnacentral:rRNA from 1 species
CCUACGGGAGGCUGCAGUGAGGAAUAUUGGUCAAUGGGAGAGAUCCUGAACCAGCCAAGCCGCGUGAGGGAAGACGGCCCUAUGGGUUGUAAACCUCUUUUGUCGGAGAACAAAACCCGGGACGUGUUCCGGACUGCGUGUAUCAGAAGAAAAAGCAUCGGCUAACUCCGUGCCAGCAGCCGCGGUAAUACGGGGGAUGCGAGAGUUAUACGGAGUUAUUGGGUUUAAAGGGUUGGUAGGCGGUACGUUAAGUCAGCGGGAAAAUUGCGGGGCUCAACCCCGUCGAGCCGUUGAAACUGGCAGACUUGAGUUGGCGAGAGGUACGCGGAAUGCGCGGUGUAGCGGUGAAAUGCGUAGAUAUCGCGAAGAACUCCGAUUGCGAAGGAGGCGAACCGGCGCCAGACUGACGCUGAGGCACGAAAGCGUGGGGAUCGAACAGGAUUAGAUACCCUUGUAGUC